rnacentral:misc_RNA from 1 species
CGAUUGUUCUUAGCUUCUUAUCAUCCGUUACUCGUCUGAGCUCCGCAUCUCCAGUGGAAGAAGAAGAAGAAUUAUCAGAAGGGAGAAAUGGCGGCCAUGGCUGCACUUCAGAGCUCAAUGAACUCACUUUCUAUCUCUUCCAACUCCUUCUUUGGCCAACGCCUCUCUUUUCCCUCUGUUUCCCCUAUACCCGUCAAGUCACCAGAGAAUACAUGUCUCAUUGUUGUGAGGCUUAAGCAUUGGGAGCGGAAGAAAUGUAAGCCAAACAGCCUUCCAAUUUUACACAAAAUGCAUGUUAAGGUGGGAGAUACAGUUAAAGUGAUAUCUGGAGAUGAUAAAGGGAAGAUUGGAGAGGUUGCUAAGAUCUUCAGGCAUAACAGCACUGUGGUAGUCAAAGAAAUAAAUCUGAAGACAAAGCAUGUGAAGAGCAGAGAAGAGGGAGAACCUGGCCAGAUUAUUAAGAUUGAAUCACCCAUUCACAGCUCAAAUGUGAUGCUUUACUCCAAGGAACAGAAUGUAGCAAGUCGGGUGGGCCAUAAAGUUCUUGACGAUGGGCAGCGAGUUCGUUAUCUCAUUAAAACAGGCGAAGUAAUUGAUAGUGCAGAGUACUGGAAAAAAUUGAAGGAAGAGCAGAACACGAAAACUGAAGUAGCUGCUGCUUCAUGAGAACAUAAUGCAUGACUUGGCUAUUGCUUUAGGUUCUAGAACUCUAGUUGAGUUCUGUCUGUUUUCCUUCUUUCCUGGUCAAAUUGUUCUGGCAUGUGCUUUUGUUAAUUAAUUGUAUCAUUCAAAGUCAC